rnacentral:rRNA from 1 species
AGUGAACGCUGGCGGCAGGCCUAAUACAUGCAAGUCGAACGGCAGCACAGCAGAGCUUGCUCUGUGGGUGGCGAGUGGCGGACGGGUGAGGAAUACAUGGGAAUCUGCCCAGUCGUGGGGGAUAACGUAGGGAAACUUACGCUAAUACCGCAUGCGCCCUUCGGGGAAAGCGGGGACCUUCGGCCUGGCGCGAUUGGAUGAGCCCAUGUCGGAUUAAAGCUAGUUGGCGGGGUAAUGGCCCACCAAGGCGACGAUCCGUAGCUGGUCUGAGAGGAUGAUCAGCCACACUGGAACUGAGACACGGUCCAGACUCCUACGGGAGGCAGCAGUAGGGAAUAUUGGACAAUGGCGCAAGCCUGAUCCAGCCAUGCCGCGUGAGUGAAGAAGGCCCUCGGGUUGUAAAGCUCUUUUGUCCGGAAAGAAAAGCGCCGGGUUAAUACCCUGGUGUCCUGACGGUACCGGAAGAAUAAGCACCGGCUAACUUCGUGCCAGCAGCCGCGGUAA